rnacentral:rRNA from 1 species
UUUAAAAGAAUGAAAGGUCUAAAUGGGAAGGUGGAAUAGGCGAGGAGCGAGCGUGGCGAGCGAGCAAGAGGCAGCGACGUCGUGAGUGAGCGAGCGGGGAAGGGAGCAGCGGAGAGGGAGAGGAGAGGCACUGGCCGGUGAGGGAAGGGAGCAGCGGCGGAAGGGGGAGAGGAGCAGCGGCGGAAGGGGGAGAGGAGCAGCGGCCGGAGAAGGAGAAGGGCAGCGGCCGGAGAAGGUGGCGGGGAAAGAGGGGUGGUGGGGCGGAAGUGAGUGUGUGGGGCAUCCAAAUUUUUUAACUAAGAAAAACGCAGCCGCUGCUCGAAGAGACGCUGCCUCCGCACCUACACAUCCCCGCGGUUUCGACCUAUACCCGAUGCCCCCGCACCUACACCUACACCUCGCCGCCGCCUCGCCGCGGCCUCGUCACCUUGUCGCCUCGCCGCGCCCUCCGGCUCCGCCCAUCCGCGGUGGCCACCGCCCUGUUCGUCGACCUCGUCCUCCCGCUGCGGAUGCUGGCGACGUCGCUCCAGACGCGUGAGUCAGAGACUCAGGGACGACGCCGCUCAAGAUGCAUGCGGUUCUGGAAGAUGCCACUCGGGGAAUGAAUGAGCCAUGUCUCCCUCAUGUACACUAGACCUAUUACUUUUAGUAAGAGUAUAUAUCUAAUCCUCCUCUACCCUGACUACAUUCUCACACAAACAAAUCUGGACAUAUGAAUGUUCCUCCAACUAAAGUCUUAAGUAUACAAAUAACAUUCUUCGUGUAAGAGUACAUAUCUAUAUCCUCCUAUACCCAGCUAAAGCCUUAAAGAAUACAAAUAACAUUCUUCGUGUAAGAAUCUAAAUACCAAUCUAAGAGUCAAUAUUUCUUUAAAUGUAGAAUAUCAUUUACUAUAAACAAGUCAACUAUUGGUCUAAGUUCCUUUUAAUCAUGUUCAAAAGAAAAUUACAUGAAAAUAACUAGGAAACGACCAUCAGACGUGGGUGACGGAGUUAUGAUAAUCAUGUCUAACUAACCAAUUAAAUAUGUUCCUUACUUACAGAAACGUGUCACGACUACAAUAAGCUAACUAAACGAUGUACACCCUCAGUACGGUAUAAAAAGUAAGUUUUUACAUAAAUCAUCAAGAUCUUUAACUCUGUUUCCACUUUUAACGACGGACCAUACUCUUGAUACGUCGAUAAAUUAAGUUCAAAAAUUAGAGCUACAGAACGUUUUAACGACUCGCCGACCGCUUCGCUUCCUUCAAGCGGCAAGGGCCAGGCACCGUGACGGUUGUAGUUAUAACCUUGACAAGAUGUACUCUAAAUAAACAUAUAUAGAAGAUGAGUGUUAAUACCCGGUGACCAGUGAUCGUCAAACUCCCAUACACCUCGCGUGAGGAAACAUAUGAAGAAAGGGACCCUUCACUUCUAAAUACAGAAAAUUACAGUACUCGACGUAAAACAAACAAUUCUCUUAUAAUCUUGCCCUGAUAAACAAACCUGUUUUUGUUUACGUUUGAUAACAUCAUUUUUUUAUGUUUUUUCGCUGGGCGUUCUAGAUUCAUGAUUGUACCUCACACAAGUACGUAGUCAAACGGAACCACGUGUCUUAUACACAUUUUACAUUUCUCAACAAAAGAGGCUUGAAAUCG